rnacentral:rRNA from 1 species
AUGACCUGGUGCCCUGCCGGCGCGCCAGGUCUGCCCACCCCUAGUUUGCCGUUGAUGCAGACUGGGCGUCCAGAUGCCUUGGCCCUCCCGUUGCCCAUGGCCACCAGUCACAAGCCGCGCCUCAUGUCCAUCAUAGUCAUGCCCACCCCGGCAUGCACGCUUGCGAUGGUGGACACGCCAACUCCUGUAGCUGACGAGACGGCUGCCUGGAGCCCCGCCAGGUGCAUGCAGAUGCCACCGCUGUUCCCAUUGGAUGCUGCUCCCACUCCAGCCAUGCAUGUCUCUGCUGAGACUUGCGGGACGCUGACGGUGGGGUCCCCAACCACCAUACCCCCACAUGCCGUGCUGACCGGUGGGGACAAACUACCUGCAUGUGUGCAUGACCAGCCACGAGCCCAAGACGUUGCACCAACUCAAGAUGAUGUUUCAGCCCAUCCGACCCAGGUUGCUGAGGUUGGCAAUGAUGAAGGCCUGACACGCUUCAUCAUGGCUCUGUCUUCACCGAUCACACCAGGACUCAUGCGGGGCCCAGUCUUCAAGCCCAUGGCGCCAGCCAGGCGGACCAAGACUCGCCCCACCUCUCCAACGCGCAGAAGCACGCGCAUCGCGGUGGCAAUGCCGCAGGGCACCAAGAUCAUGACCCAAGCUCAACGGCUCGUCUAUCACCGCCUGGGGGAGGAGUACGAGGAACCAACUGAUGAUGCGGCGACCAUCCUUGCCAAAUACACUGACAGCUUCAACACAGCCCUCACCGCUACCCAAAUCAAGGCGCUGACGGAUCUGGCACUCACUGCAACGCUACGCAAGAGGCCAACGGUGGCCUGA